CUAGAGAUUCUGGUUGAUCCUGCCAGUAGCCAUAUGCUUGUUUCAAAGAUUAAGCCAUGCAUGUGUAAGUAUAAGCUAAAUUAUACGGCAAAACUGCGAAUAGCUCAUUACAACAGUUAUAAUCUACACGACGAUCAUUACCAUAUGGAUAUCCAUGGUAAUUCUGGAGCUAAUACAUGCUAACACACCCGACUUUUCGGAAGGGUGGCAUUCAUUAGUGACUCAGAACCAAUCACUUCGGUGUUUCUGGUGAUCAUAAUGACGGAGCGGAUCGCAUUUAUGCGACAGUUCGUUCGAGUUUCUGACCUAUCAGCUCCCGUCGGUAGGGUAUUGGCCUACCGAGGCUGUGACGGGUAACGGGGAAUUAGGGUUCAAUUCCGGAGAGGGAGCCUGAGAAACGGCUACCACAUCUAAGGAUGGCAGCAGGCGCGCAAAUUACCCAAUCCUGACACAGGGAGGUAGUGACAAUAAAUAACAAUGCAGGGCCCACAAGGGUCUUGCAAUUGGAAUGAGUACAAUGUAAAGAACUUAACGAGGAACAAUUGGAGGGCAAGUCUGGU
rnacentral:rRNA from 1 species